AAUCAACGCUGGCGGCGUGCCUCAGACAUGCAAGUCGAACGAUUAAGACUUCCUUCGGGAAGUGCAUAAAGUGGCGCACGGGUGAGUAACACGUAAGUAAUCUACCCUCGAGUGGGGAAUAACGUUCGGAAACGGACGCUAAUACCGCAUAACGCAGCGGCACCGCAAGGUGACAGUUGUUAAAGGAGCAAUCCGCUUGAGGAGGAGCUUGCGGCAGAUUAGCUAGUUGGUAAGGUAAUGGCUUACCAAGGCUACGAUCUGUAACCGGUCUUAGAGGACGGUCGGUCACACUGACACUGAACAACGGGUCAGACUCCUACGGGAGGCAGCAGUCGGGAAUUUUGGGCAAUGGGCGAAAGCCUGACCCAGCAACGCCGCGUGAAGGAUGAAGUAUUUCGGUAUGUAAACUUCGAAAGAAUGGGAAGAAUAAAUGACGGUACCAUUUAUAAGGUCCGGCUAACUACGUG
rnacentral:rRNA from 1 species